CGUCCCCUAUAUGACUAUCUCUGUCCCCACGUUGUGAUUGCCCUCCCCCACUCCACUUUACCGCGCAGAGCCAGAGAGGGAAAAUCACUUUCAUCUGGAGAAGCUCGUCCGGUAACACGGGGCGGCCCAUCUGCAGGUCCCCGCUGUUCCUAAAAGAAAGAUUAAGGAUUUGAGUUGGCCUGACGGAGAGAUCUUCCAGGCGGCUCCGGCCCAUGGAGGAUGCAGAGCAUCACAUCAGAUCAAACAUUGAUAAACCAGUACUUUACCAGCGUUUUAUCAAUAUCUUUAAAGGACGGGGAGUUUUUGCCACUGAAUUCAUAUCCAAAGGAGACUUUGUUGUGGAGUACCGAGGUGAACUGCUUACACAACAGGAGGGCGAGGUCCGAGCUGAUCAGUACAAUGAUUCUGCAAAGGUGUUUCUUUUCGAUUUCCAAUGGAAAGGAAGAACAUGGUGCAUUGAUGCAUCUGAAGAAGACUCCUCCCUUGGGAGACUCGUUAAUGAUGAUCACUAAAGACUCAAUCUCAAAAUGAAGGCCAUACAAGCAAACGAUGAGCCACACUUGUGCCUCUUCGCGACUCGAGAUAUUGCAGCUGGCGAAGAGUUGACUUAUAGUUACGGUGAUUCAGACUGGCCAUGGAGAACACAGGUCAUCAAAACUGAAUUGUCAUCCAGCCCAAAACCUG